UAUCCGUUGGUGAACCAGCGGAGGGAUCAUUACCGAGUUUACAACUCCCAAACCCCUGUGAACAUACCUAUCGUUGCCUCGGCGGUGCCCGCUCCGGCGGCCCGCCAGAGGACCCCCAGACUCUUGUUUUAUACAGUAUCUUCUGAGUAACACGAUUAAAUAAAUCAAAACUUUCAACAACGGAUCUCUUGGUUCUG
rnacentral:misc_RNA from 1 species